AGUUCUUCAGUCUGACGACUCCUUCUCUCUUCUCCCUCUCCAGCCAGCACCAUGUGAACCAUCGAAUCUUGUCGGUAACUAUUCUCCUCUCCUU